rnacentral:lncRNA from 1 species
AAACAAAGUACCUCGGCUCGUUACAUCCAGAAGCGACGUGCUUCACAAACGUACCAGCGUUCAAAGAACACUAACACGCUCCCCCCUCAAAACACACCCUUUUAAUAAAAAAAACAACCAUUUUUAACCAUCCUACAGCUGAGCCCUUCAAGCGGCACCCAGCCCGAGGAGGGGACAAGGACCUCGUGUGCCCCCGUGGCACAGAGCGCACCCGGCUGGGGAAGCCCAAACCACGGCAGAGCUCGGUGGGCUCGCGCCCCGUCCCACCACGCAGGAUCUCCACUCCGGCACGUUGGACACACGGACGCGGGCAUGGAGCGGGGGGCUCAGCGCCAGCCAGCCCCACACGACCCUCAGCCGGAAAAGAGAUUUAAAAGCCGGGGUCCAGAGGCCGUGAGCUCUGCCCCAGGAGGACGAGCCGGGGCCGUGCCAGGCAUCCUGCGGAGCAGCACCUCCGUACAGCCAAACCCGCUCCCGGUGCGCUGCUCUCCGGCUCCGCACGCAGCCGCCGCGCGGGGAAGAGGCAGGUUGGAGCACCACAGAGAUCACAGGCCUCCCAGUUACACCGGACCUGCCAUCCUCGCUGACACCCAGCACAUCAACCUUCGCCCUGCCUCGGCCGUCACGGUCACGCAACCUGCCCGGAGGGAUGGAGAGCAGUGUCCCAGUGGCACCGGGAUGCGACAAGCCCCAGGGACACGGCCAGCCCUGGGGACACCAGCUGCCCUUCCCGGGGCAGCGAGAGGGCUCUGGGUGCAGCAGCAGCUCCAGCACCCACCGCCAACACCCGCAGCACCCAUCCUGCCCGCAGGGACCACCACAGAGGGCAGAGGGACAUCAGGGAGCAGGCAGACGAGGAGAUGGAUAUCCACACAGCCAGCCUCACCCGGGGAGAGGUAAAAACGAGAUGAGAGCACAGAAGCCCUCGAGAGCCCCUCCGUCAACUGCCAAAGGCAGCGGGCAGGGCAGGCUCCUGACAGCCACGUGGCUGAGCACUGUCACUCCUCCCCGAGCAGCUGGUGGCAGCAAGGACUUUCCGAGGAUGCGAUUAUAGGUUUGUGGCACCAGGGCACGAUUCCUAGGAGAUUACAGUGCAGGAAGAGUCACUUUUUUCACUUUUCUGGCCCACCACGAUAAGCAAAAUAAAAGUGCAACAUAUAAAAAAGCA